AUGCCUAUUAGUUAGAAACGUGAUGCUCGCUAUUACGGAUCAAUGUAACGUAAUUUGGUCGGUUGCAAUAUAAUAUUUUAAUAUAUCCGGUCGAUUAAUAAAUUUGCAUCCCCGUCUGAUCUUCGUGAAAUCAAAUUUAUUGUUACAUUUAUUUGUUUCUUGCAACUUCUUCUUCUUGUCGUUUAUCUAUAUAAAUUAAUCGAGUAUAGGUUAAGUAUAAGUUUUAUUUUGUUUUAUCGACAAUUGUUUUAUAAGUGUAAUGUGAAUAAGCAAAGGAUGUUCGAGUGCGGGUCUCAUAUUUUUUUUAACUACAAAUGUUGUGAAAUUUCUUUCUAAAAAUAUAUAUAUAUAAUAAUGAUACGAUACUUAAUAAUAGCUAUACAUAAUCGAUGAUUGUCGGUAAAUUACGGAACAUCAAAGAGAAGGAAGCUAAAAAAAAAAGAAAAAAAGAAAAAAGAAAAAAUGAAACAAUCGUGCUUUCUUUUUGAAAACAAUCCAUUGAAUAUAAGCGUUACAAUGGACCUUCUGCCCGGCUAAAGAGUCCUCAUAAAACAACAGUUCAUCCAAACCGGAGAAAAAGAUUAUCGAAGAAGAGGGAAGAAAAGGAGAGGAGAGAACUGCUACAAUAUAACAAUAUGGCACCCUCCUGUGUGAUCGAGUGCCUCUUCGAUUAAGAGUGAAAUUUCAUUUUCCUCCUACUGUUAGAAUCAAAUUCUAUCAAUUAUUUAAAAUUCCUAUUCGUUGUGAGCGACUACAAAUCAUCUAAGAUGAUUAAUUAAUAAUUAAUUUGGACAAUCUUUUUUUCUGCAUCGUAUAAUUUAAAUUAUACAAAUGUUAAUAAAAAGAUCAAUGACUUGGGUACUUUUAUUUUGUCUAAAAGCAACAAUUUUUCAAAUAAUUCUCUUGUCCUCCACUGUUGUUAUUCAUUUUGUGUAACAAGUCGUAACACAAAAUUUGAAAAUUCAGUUGGUACGAGGAUAAGAAUAUCUCUAUCGCAAAAUGAAUUCAAAGAAAAAGGAAAAAAGAAAAAAACCACCGUUAAAUUCCACCACGAGAGAUGUAUACAUACGUGCAACAUAAAUUACAUGGUAUAAUGUAUAUGUAUAGUAUAUUAGUAGAAAGAAUGAAAAAGCAAGUAAGACCAACUGCCUUCGUCUGAGGUUAAAGAGGGGAGAAGCACGCGUCUGCCACGCUCCCAGUGUACACACCUGGGACCAGUUGGCUAGCGAGAGAAAUCUUUUUCACCCUAAAUACAAACAAUAACCAAUUAUUAACAAAUUACAACUGUAAAAUUGGAAAUAUUUUGGAAACGUAGAAACGAAAAAUCAUGAUUUGAAAUUACUUUUUAAAAUAAACAAAGGGAUAUUCCAUUUUGUCCAUGCGAUCUUGCAAUCUGGUCAUUUUCAAAAAUAUUAAAUCAACAGGAUGAAUACUUUGUUUUUCCACUUUUGUAUAUAAUAAGGUUUGAACGAACUCCUAUAAUUACGUGACGAAGGAAGUAAAAUUAUUCGAGCGAAUGUCCUUUCAAUUUCAAUGGAAGUCUUCCACUGAAAGAGCAACCGCUCGAAGUUCCUUCCUCCACAGGUUUCAAAGACGUUCAACACUAAAAAUACAUUGAAAUACUAUAAAUAUUUAAUUAUUUAUUACACUAUAUGAUAUAAUUCUUCACAAAUAAAAGAAGGAAAAACUUUUUAUAUUUUAAUUCAAUUAUUUUUAUUUAUUUUUAUUCUCAAUCCUACUAUUUCAAUAAUAAUACCUCUUUUUCUUUUCUAUUUUUAAAAUUAUUGACUUCAAAUUCGAGAAUAAUCAUUUCACCAUCCGGAUAUUUAUCUCGAAUCAUUCUC